rnacentral:rRNA from 1 species
AUUAACAAAAAAAUUAAAUUUAUUAAUUGCUUGAAACCAUUAGAACUCAAAUGCAAAAAUUUAAUUAUUUAUAAUACUACAACAAAAUAUUUUGCGGGAAGGUAGAUAUUGUUAAU